rnacentral:rRNA from 1 species
AUUGAACGCUGGCGGCAGGCCUAACACAUGCAAGUCGAACGAGUGGCGGACGGGUGAGUAAUGUCUGGGAAACUGCCUGAUGGAGGGGGAUAACUACUGGAAACGGUAGCUAAUACCGCAUACCAUCGGAUGUGCCCAGCUGGGAUUAGCUAGUAGGUGGGGUAACGGCUCACCUAGGCGACGAUCCCUAGCUGGUCUGAGAGGAUGACCAGCCGCACUGGGACUGAGACACGGUCCAGGCGCCUACGGGAGGCAGCAGUGGGGAAUAUGGCAGAAGGGGCGCAAGCCAGAUGCCGCCAUGCCGCGAGUAUGAAGAAGGCCUUCGGGGUGUAAAAUACUGUCAGCGGGGAGGCGUUACCCGCAGAAGAAGCACCGGCUAACUCCGUGCCAGCCGCCGCGGUAAUAC